rnacentral:rRNA from 1 species
GACGAACGCUGGCGGCGUGCUUAACACAUGCAAGUCGAACGGAAAGGCCCUGCUUUUGUGGGGUGCUCGAGUGGCGAACGGGUGAGUAACACGUGAGUAACCUGCCCUUGACUUUGGGAUAACUUCAGGAAACUGGGGCUAAUACCGGAUAGGAGCUCCUGCUGCAUGGUGGGGGUUGGAAAGUUUCGGCGGUUGGGGAUGGACUCGCGGCUUAUCAGCUUGUUGGGGGGGUAGUGGCUUACCAAGGCUGUGACGGGUAGCCGGCCUGAGAGGGUGACCGGCCACAUUGGGAUUGAGAUACGGCCCAGACUCCUACGGGAGGCAGCAGUGGGGAAUAUUGCACAAUGGGCGGAAGCCUGAUGCAGCAACGCCGCGUGCGGGAUGACGGCCUUCGGGUUGUAAACCGCUUUCGGCUGUGACGAAGCGUGAGUGACGGUAAUGGGUAAAGAAGCACCGGCUAACUACGUG